CAGCCGCCGCGGUAAUACGUAGGGUGCAAGCGUUAAUCGGAAUUACUGGGCGUAAAGCGUGCGCAGGCGGUUUGUUAAGACAGAUGUGAAAUCCCCGGGCUCAACCUGGGAACUGCAUUUGUGACUGGCAAGCUAGAGUAUGGCAGAGGGGGGUGGAAUUCCACGUGUAGCAGUGAAAUGCGUAGAGAUGUGGAGGAAUACCGAUGGCGAAGGCAGCCCCCUGGGCCAAUACUGACGCUCAUGCACGAAAGCGUGGGGAGCAAACAGGAUUAGAUACCCGCGUAGUCCCUGUCUCUUAUAC
rnacentral:rRNA from 1 species